CAUGCAGUCGAGCGGCAGCGACACAUUGACCCUUUGGGGGAUUUGUUGGGCGGCGAGUGGUGGACGGGUGAGUAAUGCCUGGGAACAUGCCUUAGUGUGGGGGAUAACCAUUGGAAACGAUGGCUAAUACCGCAUAAUCUCUACGGAGCAAAGAGGGGGACCUUCGGGCCUCUCGCGCUAAGAUUGGCCCAGGUGGGAUUAGCUAGUAGGUGGGGUAACGGCUCACCUAGGCGACGAUCCCUAGCUGGUCUGAGAGGAUGAUCAGCCACACUGGAACUGAGACACGGUCCAGACUCCUACGGGAGGCAGCAGUGGGGAAUAUUGCACAAUGGGGGAAACCCUGAUGCAGCCAUGCCGCGUGUGUGAAGAAGGCCUUCGGGUUGUAAAGCACUUUCAGCAGUGAGGAAGGCGGUAUCGUUAAUAGCGGUAUUGUUUGACGUUAGCUGCAGAAGAAGCACCGGCUAACUCCGUGCCAGCAGCCGCGGUAAUACGGAGGGUGCGAGCGUUAAUCGGAAUUACUGGGCGUAAAGCGCAUGCAGGCGGCUUGUUAAGCCAGAUGUGAAAGCCCGGGGCUCAACCUCGGAAUCGCAUUUGGAACUGGCAGGCUAGAGUCUUGUAGAGGGGGGUAGAAUUUCAGGUGUAGCGGUGAAAUGCGUAGAGAUCUGAAGGAAUACCGGUGGCGAAAGGCGGCCCCCUGGACAGAGACUGACGCUCAGAUGCGAAAGCGUGGGGAGCAAACAGGAUUAGAUACCCUGGUAGUCACGCCGUAAACGAUGUCUACUUGGAGUUGGUGUCUUGAACACUGGCUUUCGGAGCUAACGCGUUUAAGUAGAACCGCCUG
rnacentral:rRNA from 1 species